AUUGAACGCUGGCGGCAUGCUUUACACAUGCGAGUCGAACGGCAGCACAGGGAGCUUGCUCCUGGGUGGCGAGUGGCGAACGGGUGAGUAAUGUAUCGGAACGUGCCUGGUAGUGGGGGAUAACUACUCGAAAGAGUGGCUAAUACCGCAUGAGAUCUUUGGAUGAAAGCGGGGGACCUUCGGGCCUCGUGCUACUGGAGCGGCCGAUAUCAGAUUAGGUUGUUGGUGGGGUAAAGGCCUACCAAGCCUGCGAUCUGUAGCUGGUCUGAGGGGACGACCAGCCACACUGGGACUGAGACACGGCCCAGACUCCUACGGGAGGCAGCAGUGGGGAAUUUUGGACAAUGGGCGCAAGCCUGAUCCAGCAAUGCCGCGUGCAGGACGAAGGCCUUCGGGUUGUAAACUGCUUUUGUACAGAACGAAAAGUCUCUGGCUAAUAUCUAGAGAUCAUGACGGUACUGUAAGAAUAAGCACCGGCUAACUACGUG
rnacentral:rRNA from 1 species